rnacentral:rRNA from 1 species
ACGAAGGUCCCAAGCGUUAUCCGGAUUUAUUGGGUUUAAAGGGUGCGUAGGCGGGUUAUUAAGUCAGUGGUGAAAGCCUACAGCUCAACUGUAGAAUUGCCAUUGAUACUGAUGAUCUUGAGUAUGAUUGAGGUGGGCGGAAUGUGUCAUGUAGCGGUGAAAUGCUUAGAUAUGACACAGAACACCGAUUGCGAAGGCAGCUCACUAAGUCAUAACUGACGCUGAUGCACGAAAGCGUGGGGAGCAAACAGGAUUAGAUACCCUGGUAGUCCACGCCCUAAACUAUGAUCACUCGAUGUGUGCGAUACACUGUACGCGUCUGAGCGAAAGCAUUAAGUGAUCCACCUGGGGAGUACGACCGCAAGGUUG